UGCUAAUAAUAUUUUUUAUUUUUUCAUUUAAAAAAAAACUAAAACUAAAAUUUAAAUCAACCAUUUAUGAUUUUCAAAAAAAAAACAAAAAAAAAACUAGAAACUACUGCAAAAUAAAAAAAUAAAAAACUAAAAACCAAAAUCUAGUAUCUAAAUACUAAAAAUUAAAAUCCAAAAACCAUUAAAAGAAUUAUCACCCUAAUCGCAUUAUAUAUAUCAUUUUCUUAUAAACUUGUGCCAUUCAUAACUAGUAUUUGAGAAAAAAAAAACAUAAGAUCGGAAGAGAAGGUCAAUCAUUUUCUUAUAAACUUGUCCCAUUGAUGAUUAGUAUUUGAGAAAAAAAAAACACGAGAUCAGAAGAGAGACUUUCUCCUCUGUAUCCCCAAAGAAGAUUUAAUCAUCAUCACACAGAGACGAUGACCCGUGAUAGAAUCAUUCUGGUCAACCCUUUUUUACACAAGGAAUGAUCAUUCUUGAGGAGUCGACCGGAACGAACCCUCUGUUUCUCGUCCUACUUGAAGGUCAUCCUUCAGCGUCCAAGGCUUCCAUUGAUGCGGUGCUGACCGUUGAUCUCGCCGGCUGCGAAGGAAGGUGUGUGAUCUGUUCGGACGAAUGGAAGGCGGAGGAUACGGUGAAGGAGAUGCCGUGUAAUCAUCGGUUUCAUUGAGAAAUGGUUAGCGUUUGUUUGUGUCCUGUUUGUAGGUUUAAAUCUCGGAUAUAAAGAUUUUUAAAUAUUGAUUCAAAAUGGAGAUACUCUGUUUCUUUGUGUUCUGUUUUUUUUUGUGAGAAUUCAUAGACCAAGUAUUUUAUAGGCUUCCAUGCAUUUCUUGUUUUGCUUGAUUUAAAACACAGAGAUAAGCUGCUCUUACUCCACUCAACACCUACGAAAUACCAACUCCCACUAUACAGCACUUAAUCUAUUAGAGCACCCCCAUUAGUGAACUUAUGGGGGGUUCACACACAUUCCCAAAAAAAAAAAAUUAUUAAAAUAAGGAAUAGUGAUGAACCUGUCUCUCUCCACCCCUUCUCAGUGAACCUGGUUCAUCACUGUAGCGCGGGCCCCACGGCACGUGGCGGCCCGCGACUGGUCCGAAAAAAUAAUUUUUUUUUUUUUU